rnacentral:other from 1 species
GGAGCGCUGCGGAGUGCGUUAGGCUCAAUAUCCCUGGGGCGAUGCGACCUCCUAGGGAGCUGUCCCUGCCGGGCACCACGGGUUCGUCCCGAGGGCUCGGUAUUACGGCGCCCACCUGCACUGCAGGCCACGGAGGAUAUUUAGUACGCCGACGGCUACUGCGGCACCGCC